UACGGGGGGGGCAAGCGUUGUUCGGAAUUACUGGGCGUAAAGGGCUCGUAGGCGGCCAACUAAGUCAGACGUGAAAUCCCUCGGCUUAAACCGGGGAACUGCGUCUGAUACUGGAUGGCUUGAGUUUGGGAGAGGGAUGCGGAAAUUCCAGGUGUAGCGGUGAAAAUGCGUAGAUAUCUGGAGGAACACCGGGUGGCGAAGGCGGCAUCC
rnacentral:rRNA from 1 species